GGGACUUUGACGUUAUUUGGUGGUCCAGAAAGGAAAAGGUUGGGAACCGUUGCACACCCCAUUUAGCUUAGGGCUACAUGAUUUUAAAAUAGAACGUGAAAUAAUUUAACUUUUUUUUUCUCCAGAGUGAUCAUUUGACAUGAAUACAUCCCGAUCCAUGGAAGCUGAGUGGUUUUGAGGAAUCUGACGGUUGCCCGCAGGUAGUUUAUUCUCGCCUGCCUCGGGAUCAAGGUGUGUGAGUCCAUCAUUACACUUGKGCGCGAUUUUAAGGAAUGCAAACAUGUUCUAAAACAUAUUUGSUGCUCACCUUUCCAUUUUGUCAAAUAGCAAACUCCCUCUUCCUCUCCCUCCCUCUCUCUCUCUCCAUCUCUCUCUCUCUCGCACACACACACACUCUGUUACUUUUGAGCUUCUACCCCCUCAUCUUUUAGUCAAUUCCUUGCUUCUGGAGAGAGUUGACUGUUCCGACACCGUUGGCACUCACGGGCUGGGUCACUAUAAUCGCUGGCUGAUAGGGGCAAGGAAAAUAGGCUACAUAAAUACAUACAUUCAUAAAUGUCAUGACAAUUAUCAGUUUGACUUUUCUCUCAAGAAAAACCGACGCACUGACAUCCUAAAUAAGGAGAAAAUCUCAGACCAUCCAAUUGAGUUGGAGAUUAUAGAUUCAUUUUUGAACUSAAGGUGUGUGUUUGUGUAUGAGUCCCGUGAUGAUUGGCCACU